UGAGGAAUAUUGGUCAAUGGGCGAGAGCCUGAACCAGCCAAGUAGCGUGAAGGAUGACUGCCCUAUGGGUUGUAAACUUCUUUUAUAAAGGAAUAAAGUCGGGUAUGGAUACCCGUUUGCAUGUACUUUAUGAAUAAGGAUCGGCUAACUCCGUGCCAGCAGCCGCGGUAAUACGGAGGAUCCGAGCGUUAUCCGGAUUUAUUGGGUUUAAAGGGAGCGUAGGUGGAUUGUUAAGUCAGCGGUCAAAGCCCGGGGCUCAACCCCGGCCCGCCGUUGAAACUGGCAGUCUCAAGUUGGAGAGAAGUAUGCGGAAUGCGCGGUGUAGCGGUGAAAUGCUUAGAUAUCACGAAGAACUCCGAUUGCGAAGACAGCCUGCUAAGCUGCAACUGACAUUGAGGCUCGAAAGUGUGGGUAUCAAACAGG
rnacentral:rRNA from 1 species